UACGUAGGUUCCGAGCGUUGUCCGGAUUUAUUGGGCGUAAAGCGAGCGCAGGUGGUUUAAUAAGUCUGAUGUAAAAGGCAGUGGCUCAACCAUUGUGUGCAUUGGAAACUGUUAGACUUGAGUGCAGUAGAGGAGAGUGGAAUUCCAUGUGUAGCGGUGAAAUGCGUAGAUAUAUGGAGGAACACCGGUGGCGAAAGCGGCUCUCUGGACUGUAACUGACACUGAGGCUCGAAAGCGUGGGUAGCAAACAGG
rnacentral:rRNA from 1 species